CAUUCGCCACACACAGGUAUCACUCAUCCUUUCUUCAGACCCUCCUCAGGACCCUGCAGUAAACAGCAUCUGCAAUGUCGCCGCCUCUGAGCGACACUCCUGUGUGGGUGACUUGGCCCUUCCCAGUCUCUGGGCCCCUCCAAGACAGCCCCCAGCCCAGUUCUAAGGAAAACAAAGUUCUUGUGAGUGCCAGGGAGAGGCUUCUAAUUGGAUUCAGUCAGCCUGCUUCCUGCUGACAUUUGGUGGGUGGUGACAUUCGGCAGGUGAGGAACUAGGUUAGAAAGUUGCCAAGCAGGCCCAGGCGUCGGGAGAGGGAGUUUAACCUGUGUGGCUUUGAUGCUGGUCAGAAGCCACACUCCAUUGAGAGCUGUCCUGAUCUCUAUCCCAAGAGACCAGACACCAGCUGGCACUCCACUUAAUGCCAGCCAGAGGAAGGCUAAAGGGCUUAGAGUCUGGCUAAGGAUUUCUGUCCCUCUUUUCUUCCCUCCUUACAAAUUAGCAGACUGAAAACUCUUUCCAAAUCACAGAGUGAUGAUUCACAGAGGUUAUUAAGGUGCAGGGA
rnacentral:lncRNA from 1 species